UUAAAUACACAAUAAUCUCCAUUGUCGUAUCUCUCCCCCAUUUAAAGCUCAACAAUUUCAUAUUUCCAAAAGUUAGGGUUCAAUAAAUUGAGACCAAAAUGUAGAUGAUAAGCAAAGUUUGGGGCUUUUAGAUCGUGGGUGCUUCUCUAUGUCUACAAGUUAGUAGGGGGUUUUGAUCCGAGUGUGUUUCGGUCUUGAAGUUAUGAUCUGGAGCGGUGGAUAUUUCGGGGCAGUUUGAAUUUGGGGUUCAGAUCUUGGUGUUUUGCUGGGUUUGGUGUUUUGGAGAGGGUUUCAUUUCGGAUCUGGGUUGUUUAUCCGGUGUUUUCCCAGUGAUGUUUAUGUGCUUCUGUUUUGGAUUUUAUGCUUUAUUGCUUAUGUAUUUUAAAAUUGGAUUUGGAUUUUUGAUGGUUCUGUUGUGUCCAUCGUUGGUUAUUCUGGUAAUUAGAUCAGAGAAGUUGUUGGCAAUUAUUGAAGGACGACGAAAUGUUCACUUCACAUGGUCAGUACUAAACAUUAACCAAUUUAUCUCCUAUAAAGUGAUUAAUUAAUUAUUGUUUCCGCAUCAGGAAGGUACUAUGACAAAUUUAAU
rnacentral:lncRNA from 1 species